GACAAACGCUGGCGGCGUGCUUAACACAUGCAAGUCGAACGGUAAGGCCCUUCGGGGUACACGAGUGGCGAACGGGUGAGUAACACGUGGGUGAUCUGCCCUGCACUUCGGGAUAAGCCUGGGAAACUGGGCCUAAUACCGGAUAGGACCACUGCCUGCAUGGGUGGUGGUGGAAAGCUUUUGCGGUGUGGGAUGGGCCCGCGGCCUAUCAGCUUGUUGGUGGGGCGAUGGCCUACCAAGGCGACGACGGGUAGCCGGCCUGAGAGGGUGACCGGCCACACUGGGACUGAGAUACGGCCCAGACUCCUACGGGAGGCAGCAGUGGGGAAUAUUGCACAAUGGGCGCAAGCCUGAUGCAGCGACGCCGCGUGAGGGAUGACGGCCUUCGGGUUGUAAACCUCUUUCAGCACCGACGAAGCGCAAGUGACGGUAGGUGCAGAAGAAGGACCGGCCAACUACGUGCCAGCCGCCGCCGUAA
rnacentral:rRNA from 1 species